GACGAACGCUGGCGGCGUGCUUAACACAUGCAAGUCGAACGGAAAGGCCCUGCUUUUGUGGGGUGCUCGAGUGGCGAACGGGUGAGUAACACGUGAGUAACCUGCCCUUGACUUUGGGAUAACUUCAGGAAACCGGGGCUAAUACCGGAUAGGAGCUCCUGCUGCAGGGGGGGGGUUGGAAAGUUUCGGCUGUUGUGGAUGUACUCGGGGCUUACCAGCUUGUGGGUGGGGUAGUUGCUUACCAACUCUUUGGAGGGUAGCCGGCCUGAGAGGGUAGCCAGCGUCCUUAGUACUGAGGGAGGGCGCAGACUGCUACGGUAGGCAGUGGUGGGGAAUAUUGCCCAAUGGGCGGGAGCCUGUUGCGGCAACGCUCCGUGCGGGAUGCCGGCCUUCGGGUUGUAAACCGCUUUCGCCUGAGACGAAGCGUGAUUGACGUUAAUGAGUAAAGAAGCACCGGCUAACUACGUG
rnacentral:rRNA from 1 species